GAUGAACGCUGGCGGCGUGCCUAAUACAUGCAAGUCGAGCGAACAGACGAGGAGCUUGCUCCUCUGACGUUAGCGGCGGACGGGUGAGUAACACGUGGAUAACCUACCUAUAAGACUGGGAUAACUUCGGGAAACCGGAGCUAAUACCGGAUAAUAUAUUGAACCGCAUGGUUCAAUAGUGAAAGACGGUUUUGCUGUCACUUAUAGAUGGAUCCGCGCCGCAUUAGCUAGUUGGUAAGGUAACGGCUUACCAAGGCAACGAUGCGUAGCCGACCUGUGAGGGUGAUCGGCCACACUGGAACUGAGCCACGGUCCAGACUCCUACGGGAGGCAGCAGUAGGGAAUCUUCCGCAAUGGGCGAAAGCCUGACGGCGCAACGCCGCGUGAGUGAUGAAGGUCUUCGGAUCGUAAAACUCUGUUAUUAGGGAAGAACAAAUGUGUAAGUAACUAUGCACGUCUUGACGGUACCUAAUCAGAAAGCCACGGCUAACUACGUG
rnacentral:rRNA from 1 species